rnacentral:rRNA from 1 species
UACAUAGGGGGCGAGCGUUGUCCGGAAUCAUUGGGCGUAAAGCGCGUGUAGGCGGUUCGGUAAGUCUGCUGUGAAAGUCCAGGGCUCAACCCUGGGAUGCCGGUGGAUACUGCUGAACUAGAGUGCGGAAGAGGCGAGUGGAAUUCCCGGUGUAGCGGUGAAAUGCGCAGAUAUCGGGAGGAACACCAAUUGCGAAGGCAGCUCGCUGGGACGUUACUGACGCUGAGACGCGAAAGCGUGGGGAGCAAACAGG